rnacentral:rRNA from 1 species
UACGGAGGGGGUUAGCGUUGUUCGGAAUUACUGGGCGUAAAGCGCACGCAGGCGGUUUGUUAAGCUAGAUGUGAAAGCCCCGGGCUCAACCUGGGAUGGUCAUUUAGAACUGGCAGACUAGAGUCUUGGAGAGGGGAGUGGAAUUCCAGGUGUAGCGGUGAAAUGCGUAGAUAUCUGGAGGAACAUCAGUGGCGAAGGCGACUCCCUGGCCAAAGACUGACGCUCAUGUGCGAAAGUGUGGGUAGCGAACAGG